GGGGCUGACCGGUUUUGACAGCAGGGAAGUAGCCUUGUAAGCAUGCCGAGUUUCGGUACAGGGGUCUCGAUAAAACUUCUGUGCAAGCCAUAAUAACUGGCGACUAUCAAUAUCAGAUGGCUGCUUAAUUUUAGAAAUUAAGCGCCUUUGUCUCCCGGGAAACCUUUCUCAGCGGUGUUCCGGAUGAGGCAUCAAAAAAGUUGAGAUAGGUGUGGUGAGGUUCCGGCAUCACAGCGAAAUAAAGGAACUACGGACCGGAUAGGCUGGCCGCUGGCCGGUUUGGUCCCUACAAUCAACCAGCGGAUAAGCAUGUAGAAAGCACCGAUGCUACCUGUUUGGACGAGGGUUCGAAUCCCUCCAGCUCCACAA
rnacentral:tmRNA from 1 species